rnacentral:lncRNA from 1 species
CUUUGGAAGCCAUGGACGGAGGGAUCGAUCUCUGCUAGCUGGCGUAAAAUGAAUUGAAGGUAAUUAGUCUUCAGGCCAGGCCAUGCCUCCUUCUUCCCUAGAUCCUCCCCUUCAGAGAGUGCGGCCCCCUCUUCUGAACUCGCUAGCUAGUUAUAUAGCUGCUGCUUUCUUGAUUUGUUGGCCCCUGUAGCUUCUGAUGCCUCUUCCUCUAUGGAUAUAGCCGCCACCCAGUAGCUGCCGGUAUCGAUCUUUCUUUUCUGUGUUUAAUUCAGUACAUCCGAUUCGGGAAUGGAAUUCGUUAUUUCACUUCACUGCUCGAUCAUAUACACACACUAGGACGACAUAUAUACCAGACAAGACCGGCACAUGUAUAUGGAGUGGGC